rnacentral:lncRNA from 1 species
GCAAACAGCCAUGUUCCAAAUGCGGAUUGGUUUCUAGAAAUGUAACUUGAGAGCUGGUUUCACGUAAGAUCAGUUUGGUGAUGCUUUUCUGACUUGGAUUUACGCACGGAGAUAAAAGGCGAUUCUGCGCACUUGGGGGCAUUAUGUAAGGUGCAGUGUGU